rnacentral:lncRNA from 1 species
CUGGACUUCUCUGGCGGAUAAUCUUCAGACGAGCUUCCACAUCAGGUGAAUUUCAGAUGGACUUCUCUAGCAAUUGGACUCCUACCAGACUUCACCGAUGGAAAGUCUCCUUUCGAGCUUCUACGGCAGAUGACUCCCACCUGUAGUAUCAGUGCCUAAGGUAUCCAACAGCAGUAAACUCAUCAGCAGCUUCAGAAACAUCUGAGCUUCUCCUAGAUCGAUGGGAUAGAAAGUCAUUCCGCUCCAUCAGAUAUCCCAGCCAAACUCUAGCCAACAGAUCCAAACUCUUUGGCAAGUCGCGACAAUGGCCACUACCCUGCUCUACUCUCUGCAAUGGAUUCCGCAUGGCUCCACUACUCUCUGGCGAGCCGCGACAACAGACACCACUCCACUCUCCAUAACAAACUCCACGUGGCCCUGAAUGACCCCUGACGCCACUACUCU